AAGCCCUUUCGAAUGGCGCCAACCGCAAUGAAAUCGGUCAAGCUGUUCAGAAGUUAUGAGAAGUUUACACACACACACACACACACACACACACACACACACACAC